GCGCAGGUCAGGGAUUGUCUCCUGCGUGACGGGACCCGAUGGAGAAUAAAUUUAGUCCGCUCGGGAAUGGGCACGGACUAAGCGACCACGGUUCUCAGCUGUAUUACGUCAUUACCUGCGGUUGAGCGAUGCAACCUGACAGAAACUAAUCAAGUGCCUACCAGUGUCAGUAGUCUGUAUAAAUGAAUGAACCUGGGCAUCCCUUGGUGGAUUUCUGUUUUUCAUGUUUCUACCGUCCGUGGAACAUGGAAUCAAACCAGAAUAUGUUGGCAUAACAGGCCGGUCAGACUGGUUCUUCUGUCGAUCCAGAACCCGUCCGACCAGUCUGCAUCAAAGACUAGCCCAACAUGCUGCAGCGGCUCAGUUCUGCAAGACUUGUACUUGUACUGGGCCCCUGCUUUGAAACAUCAGACUCUGCAAGAUGUAGAAUUCACUUUCUCUGCAACUCUUCUACUCAUGUAAUCUGGAACCUGAGCCUCAGUUUGAUCCUCCUGUUUUUUUGUCCUCUGCCUACAGAAGGGUAACUAAGAGUGACAUUGAUAAAUCAUAUGAUAAGUACAUGUUUGAUAAUUAACUACGAAACUCUUUUCCAGACUGG